rnacentral:rRNA from 1 species
GUCUACAGCUAUAUCACCCUGAACGCACCUCAUCUUGUCUGAUUUCAGAAGCUAAGCAGGGUAGGCCUGGGUUAGUACUUGGAUGGGAAAAAAUGAAGCUGUCACAC